GUGUGUGUGCGUGCGUGCAUGUAGCUAUGUGUUUAUAUGAAAGUAUGUGUGUGUGUCUGUGUGUGUGAAUGUAGCUGUGUUUAUAUGAAAGUGUGUGUGUGUGUGUGUGUGUGUGCGUGCAUGUAGCUAUGUGUUUAUAUGAAAGUGUGUGUGCGUGUGUGUGUGUGUUUGUGUGUGUGUAUUUUGGGAAUUGGGCGGGUGUAUGUACGAAGCCUCGCAUCAGAAGCAGCAGCAGCACGUGAGAGUCGCGCGCGAGAGAAAGGGAAAACGGAGCCUGAUGUGGCGUCAUCACUGCCUAGCGACUCGUUGCUUAGCGACGGGGAAACAGCUGUUCCGGUGAGGGCCAAUCAGGAGGCUGCGAGAGGCGCGUGCCCUCGCUUUGCGUUGGAAAACUGGAAGAUUUGGGGGACAUUUGUUUAAAAGGGAAAAAGUGUUGUUUAAAAGGGAUCGCCACACACACACACACACACACACACGAGCGCGCGCGCGGGGGCGCGCAGACAGGACCAGGACCAGACACAUGAACGAGGUAUUAAAGCGUGUACAUCCGGGACAUUUGAGUAAUGACGCCCCACUGAGCCGGCGGAGUGUUCGAGCGGAGCUGUGCGGAUCUGCGGCUUUUUCUCCAGCGCCUCUAUAAACAACGCACUCGGAGGGCGUGUGUGUGUGUUAGAUACAGGAGCGAUGCUCAGGUGAACACGGCCGUCGUUAGAAAGUAGUCAGGAUCUUCCCAGCGAGUGUGCCCUUAUCGAUCAACGACGUCGAAAGUCGCCUACUUUAAGAGGAAGUAUGCGGAAGAGGAGGAUGUCCAGGGAAGCCUAUGUGGAUAUUUACAAAAACACCUGAUCUUACGCGAGGAGCGCAGCUGCAUUUUGCGCCUGUCGCUACAGAAGCUGCGUUUCCUGGACGACCCCGAGGCCUUCCUGCGCCGUGCCGUUCUCAUCAACAACCUGCUGCGCAAGAUCCACUCGGACGACGGGCAGAGGGACCGAGACGGACCGAGGAAUGGAGAGAACGAGGAGGAAGAAGAAGAGGAAAGGCUUUUUUACUUGGACAGGAAGAGACUGAAGGUCGUGGUGAGCCCUGAACACGGACAUCCCAUCUUCCUUUAUCCACUUAACAACUGCUAAAAUCCCACUGUACUUAAGCGCUGGUGUUUAAACCUAGCAGAGAUGACGGCGUAGGUUGGAGGUGAAGGUGUGUGUCUGUGCAAUGUGUGUGUGUGUGUGUGUGUGUAAAACUGUGUGUCAGCAUCAAACACUUGGAAGCUGGGAUUAUUGCAGUGUCAGAUGGAUUAUAAGAAGCAUCUUUGAACAUCAGGGUUUGCUUUUUUUAACACACGAAAAGAAAGAUUGAGCCUAACUGCCUCUCUAAAUAAACUUUCAUUUUGCCUUUUUUUUUUUUUUUUUUUUUUUUUUUUUGCUAAUCAUUUUUUCAGGGAUUAAAAAAAAAAAAGCCAUGCACUUUGUAUCUCUGUAAGUAAAUGUAAAGUGUAAAGUUUGUUGCCUGAAUAUUGUUCUGCUAUAUGAGCCACCUUUUCCAAACAAAGCAUCUAAUAUAAUAUAUUCUAAUAUAAUAUAUAAUGUGAUAUAAUAAGAUAUAUAAAAUACAAUGUGAGGACUGUAUGACAUGAUUGAGGGAGGGUAAAUUCUAUCGUUUGCUAACGGAACAGGAAAUGACUCAUAGUGCUCUACUGCCCCCUAGUGUUCACUUGUGUGAUUGUUCAUGCAACAUUUUAUUUAUUUAUUUUUUUUGGUGUGUGCUGUUUUUCCACAUUCUGUGCAAAGUUCUCUCCAGAUUUCAGAUAAAAUCUUUCUUUAACGCAAAAGGAGGAACUUAUUUUUAAGUAUUUAAGAUAUUCAUUUAAGAUAUUUAAGAUAUUCUUGCCAGAGGCUAUAGCUUUUGCUGAGCUAAAAGUUGGAUAAGUUUGGAAAGCAUUUCCCCCGGGCAAGUUCCAGAUGUUCUUAUGCUGUCUGUUUUGUUUUGUUUUGUACUUACAGUUUAAUUGCACUCUUGCUACAGACUUUAAUUAUUCAGCCUUAACAUACUUACAUAUCAAAAUCAUUCUUAAACAGUGAGGUUUAUUCAUUCACUCCUGUUUCAGUUUACAACACAACCGCAGACUAAUUGCAAAAAAAAAAAAAAGAUCUCUAGUCUGAUUUUCCUAUAAAUAUAUUUAAUGUAAAACAACAACAAACAAAGCAGUGGUGCAGACUUGGUUAAUAUUUUGCUGUGUGUGUAUAUAUUUUUGCAUAAAUAUAUUUUAUGCCAUGCAAUGUCAACUGUUAGCUUUUAAUACUUGAAAUGUGUUUUUGUAUACAUGUACAUGUGUAAGGUGAUGCUAAAGUUGAUUUGUUUAAGUAUUUAAUGUGUAAAACUGCAUAUCGAAGUGCUAUCUUUUGGACAUUUCAUAUAUUAUAAAAUAAUAUAUUGGUUUUUAUAAAUAAACAUAAAGAAAAGAUAUAUAUGCUAUAUUCUACAAAAAUAUUAACCACAUUUUUUUGCAAAAGACUAAAGUAGCGUUUUAAAAAAAAAAUCCGUAUAUUUUUCAGGUAUUUCAAACAAAUAAAAUCUACAAUUAAAAA